rnacentral:sRNA from 1 species
UACCAACCCAAAGUAUAAGCGUCCACCUACUCCUAUCUAGUUCGAAAAAUGCGAACUAGAACUACAUGAGACACUAUCUCUGUCGUUACGAACCUAACACUUUCUACCAAGCUUAAUCGGAAUAAGACCUCACAAACACUCACAAGUGAUAUAGGGCUUGAAAGAAAGUCUAGGUUU